UUAUUUUUUACUUAACCGGAAUAUAGAUAAACUAAGUACAAUUUUAGACAAUAAAUGCUAUUUCCUGAAGCAAGUGACACAAUUCAAACGUGUUUCAACUGAAACUUGAUAAUUUAUUGUUCGAUAUUCAGUCUGUGAUAAGGCACCGAUUUGUGCAAAAGUUCGUUCAGUUUCAAAAUGAAUCAGACGUGGAUCCUACUCGCUGUCGUUGUUCUAUUAAUCCCGUGUUCGACGACAUUUGGUGGCAAUGUUUUUCUUAAUCCAAGAAGUGGCUCGUAUAGUGCACAAUUUUACGCAGAUCCAUAUUCUACAGGAUCAUGUAAAAUUGAUCCGUACAACAAAUCAAUCACAAUAAGAAAUUUGAAAUCCUACUGCAACACCAGACAACUACGAAAUAUUUUCUCAAGUUUAUCGUCCGGCACAUACCCAAUUGGUCGAUUAAGAGGAUACACAAUUGUUGGCCCUGAUGCACUCGUCGAGUCUGUAUGGAAUGGCAAAAAUUUUUAUUACGCAAAUGGAUCCGCACGCGGUGGUACGGUGACCAAUACGUUCUUAGGAAUAUUUCAGUUUUUACAAGCUUCAAUUUAUCGAACAAUCGCUCCAAUUGAUGGCAAAGAAGCGUUCGCAAUCGAUUAUAGAAACGAGAUAUUUGCUUUUCUGAUGAUAGACUUUCUACGAAAAGUUCAAGACAAUUUGUAUUUGGGCUUUGUGACGAUUCGUGGUUUUGAAACCAUACCAGUCGGAUAUUUUUUACUGGAAAGUUUUUGAUCUGUCCAGACGCUUUACCGAAUGUUUUUGUCAUUAGUUUCUACCUGAUUAAUUGUUAACUGUAAGACUGAACUUCAAUUUAGCUACACCAUUACCAUUAUAUGACGAUAAAGUAUAGCCGAAAACGAUAAACUGGAACAGGUUUCAUAGAACUUGUCAGACCUAAAAUAAAUUGUUUUUCUUCGUAUACCUGUUUCAAACAUUACGUGACAUCAUCAAAGUUUCUUAAAUGUUAGAAUAUAUCACAUUACUAAAUUGAGCGAGAAAAUCACUACCAAUCACUGGGACGGAGGGUGUAAUC